UGUGUAGGCGGCUUUCUAAGUUUGGUGUGAAAUCUCCCGGCUCAACCGGGAGGGUGCGCCGAAAACUGGGAGGCUAGAGUGCGGGAAGGGAGAGUAGAAUUCCUGGUGUAGCGGUGAAAUGCGUAGAUAUCAGGAGGAAUACCGGUGGUGCAGACGGCUCUCUGGACCGCAACUGACGCUGAGGCACGAAAGCGUGGGUAGCAAACAGGAUUAGAUACCCUGGUAGUCCACGCCCUAAACGAUGCAUAUUUGGUGUAGGUCAUUCCGUUGAUCUGUGCCGGAGCUAACGCGUUAAAUAUGCCGCCUGGGGAGUACAGUCGCAAGGCUGAA
rnacentral:rRNA from 1 species